UAUUUGAAGGGGAGAAGAAGGGCGUUGGAGAGUUCCUCAGAGAGAAAAAAACCAAACAAAAAAACGCAUCUAUUUUUGAGCCAAUCAAAUAGACGCAGCAGGAUCGACCUUCUCACUUUCAACAUAUUUUUCUUCCGGCUAUAGGUUACUCCUUACAUUGUUGCAUGUUGAUUACUGCGAUGAAGGACAGAGAUGAUAACCUGAAAAUGAAUUUUAGUUUGCAGAGAAUAACAACAGAUUGACUGCAGCGUGGAAUUUGUCUUUUGUAAACGAUGUACCUGAAGCGUAUUCUCGUUGCCACGACUAUUGGCUUCUUGUGGUAUUUUUCAGAUUACGGAGAAGUUACUCUCCAGUUAGGCGUGUUGAUAUGCGUUCUUUUGUCACUUAAAUUCUUCAAAAGGUCUGUUGAAUGUAGUACACAGACCGAUGAGUUGGCUGAAAGUCCACCAUGCCAGGGAAAAAAUGAGGAGAAAAUAUGCAGUUGUGAUGGGAGCAGUAUAACUAGUUCCAAGGAGGAAUCACUGCACGGCACACAAUAUUUCAAUGUUAAGAGAUCUCUUCAACAAGUGUUUGAGUGUGCAUACAGCCAGACAGUCGUUCCUUGGUACAUUGUGCCUGAGCCCACUACCAGCCAACCUCUCCACGGAGCACUCAAGACCGAGUUUGACCUGUUUGUGGAUCGGCUUAUCAGAAGGACACGAGAAUUUGACCUUUGUGCUGCCAGUGUGGGCCUUAUUCGCAUCCUCACCCAACAUCUGCAUAAUGCAAAGCAGUCUAAAGGAACACCAUGUUUCAGCUCCAGAGCAGAGGAGAUGGCAGUCCUCCGGGUGUUUUCUGAGGCCCUUGUGCGGAAUCUCCUCCCGGAAACCCUUUGGGACCUUGAACUCUACCGCUGUAUUUUAAAUGAAGUAGUUGCUGUGAAAGUGUUAGACCUGCUAGUGACUUGGCUCUCCGACCCGGACAAUCUUAACCAGCUGGUGGUGAGUCAGCUGGAUGAAGUGGCGUUCAAGAGAUCGGUGGAUGACCUGUGCGAGUCUGAGAGAGAGGACAGAGCCUCCUCCCCAGAGACUGAAGAUGCGGGAGCCUCAGCAGAUGAUGCAGAGGAUGUCAGCAGAAAGAAAAAGAAACACGGUAAGAAAUUAAAAGAGGGAUGGUCAAAAUUUCUCGAUAAAAUGAAGUCAAAGAAGGCCAAAAAGAAGGAACUGAAGAAGAAGGAGAGGGAGCUCAUGUUAAGGGCCUUGGCGGACCAGAGCCCAGCUUCCUAUGCCAGGGAUUGUGGAGCCGGCAGCAGCACAGAGGGCUCCGUCAAAAGUCAAACGGACUCCGAUAGUGAAGAGGACAUGGACCUGGAGGCCUACCUCACAGGUGUUCAGGAGGACAUGAUGGAGUUUAAGUUGUCUUAUGAAAUGUGGAGAGUGGGGAACUGGAUUGUCACAGUCAAUAAUGUUCAGCGAGAGAGUGAGGAGUUAUGCUUUGCAGUUCAUCUUGAAGAGAGAGACAACACUGACAAUCUUCAGUGGGAUGUGAUUAAGACACAAACGGACCUCCUCCAUUUCCAUAGCCAAUGGCAGGACCUGUCAAGUCUACCAUCAAUUUCUGCAGUAGUUGAUGACAAAGGGAGGGAUCUGGAUGAAGAAUUUAAAGUGGAAGCUAAGGCCAUUUUGCAGAAUUUUCUUCAGGAACUGGUCUCAAAUUCAGAGUUUGGCCACAGCCAGCCCGUGUUUCAGUUCCUGUGUCCAUUGGACAAGCUAUUGAGUGAAGAAGAACCUUGUGGAGGAGUGUGGGGUCUUCUCAGUGGCAUUGCCUACUUCCUGACUCCUGCACAGGAGGAAGAGGAGAGCAAUAGCCCCGUUGCAGUGGUUAACUCAGAGGCUGUGAAGACUACGGCCUUGAUGCAUGAGCCAGAGGUUGCCCAGCUGACUACAGUGAAUAACCAGGGAGAACACGCUGAAGGAGAUGCUAUGGAACCUCAUCACACAGUCCUCCAAAGUGUUUCUGACACUGCUUCCAACGAUACCAAUGGGGCUGAGGAGAGUGAACCUGCACUGACCAAUGAUGACAGAUCUGAGGGAAUGUCUGCUGUGAGGCACAAGAGCAAAGGUGGCUUGACAAAGGUGGAUUUGCAUACCCAGACCGAUUUGGAGAAAAACACUAACCAGUCUUGGGAACAUCUGGAAGCUACUAAGGCAAUAUUUGAGUUGCUAAAAGAAAUAUCUGGUAAUUCAUUCAUCCUCAACAUAUUUGAUGCUAUUCUCAAACCCGUCAUGCCUUUGGUGAAGAAGAAAGUGAAUAGCUUCUUGGACAAAAUGAACGCCACAGAAGCACAAGUGGCAUCCUACAUUGACACUGCUCGGGAGAAGCAGUGGCCUGAUGGUGCUGCUGGGGUGCAGAGACCUCAAAGGCGUCCAGAGGAGAAGACAGAGACAAGAGAACGAGCUCAACAGCUCAUCAAUACCAGAUAUUCAAACUACCUGAUACUCAAGAAGACUGAUGUGGAAACAGUGUUUAAGAUCUUCCAAGAGACAGAAGAGAACAAGAAACUGGUUUAUAUGCUGCUUUCAUUCCUGUUGCAUGAAUUCUUGCCUGGAGAACCUGCUCUGGACGUAAUGGCUCAGCUAUAUGUGAAAGACAUCAUUUGA
ensembl:lncRNA